AGAGAAAUUCAGGCAGACUCCACGCUUGAGUGCAGAGCCCCAUGAGGGGCUCGAUCCCAGAGCCCUGAGAUCACAACCUGAGCUGAAACCAAGAGUCGGACACUUAACUGAAUACACCACCCAGGAGCCCCAGUUCAGUUGUUUUAAAAAAUAUAUUGGAUUUAAUUAUUUUUGAGUGGGUAAUUCUGUCCACAGGGCAAAGAUUCCAGAAGGUACCAAAGAGGGCAAACCAGGAGGGCUGGAGGCAGGAAAGAGAGGGAGGCUUCUUUUGGACUGAACCUUUGGUCUUGUUUAGAUUUUGUACCGUGCGUAAGCAAUAUCUAUUUAAUAGAAUGACUUAAAACAAGCGAGCAAGCAAAACAAAACAACCAAACAGUUAGGGGUUGAAAAAUAACCUCCAUCUCACCUGGCUUCCAACCCCAGCCAACCUCUCCAACCCCACAGACAACCGCCUUGAUCAGCUGUCUUCCCAAAGACAUUGUAUGCAUAUGCGCACGAUACUUAAAAAAAAUAUUGUGCAAAUUGUAGCAUCCUGCCCGCAUUGUUGUUGGUCAUUUGGGAUCUUGAUCUUUUCAUCCUGAAGGCCGCCUCUUUUUAACAGGAUGAUAGGCCAUCAUUUAUUUAACUAGAUCCUCUACUGAUAAAGUUAAGGUGGUUCACAAUCGCUUUCUUACAAAGCGAAGUGAGAGAGUGUAACUCCCCGCUCUUGGAGUGGUACAGAUGUAACUGUAUGUAUACAGCAUUUCAGUCCCGAGCAGGCACAUCUGCAGGCUGUCUGUAGAAAGCAGAGCCCCAGCGUCAACAGCUGUGGGCAUUGCUACAGGGAGGGGAUGUCGGGAAGCUUCUAUGAGGAGGCCUAUUUGGCCGUAUCGAUCAAAAAUGAAAUCCCCACUCCCCCCAUUUCUAGCACCUCCUGGGUGCUCGGCGAGGGGUAGAGAGAUGAGGAGCACUCAGGCUGAGCUCUUGAGGGGCUCUCAGACGCAGACAAAUCAUUCCCAGCCCCAGGAAGGAGGGAUGUCAAAAUGCCAGGACAGUGCAAGGAAACUAGCCUUGGGCCUCUCACUGGGGAGAGAGAGGAAAUGUUUGUUCAGAGGAAAAGAAGGAAGGGCAUUCCAGCAGAAGGAUCAGCAUGUGUGAAGACUGGAUGUCACAGAGGACACAGGGGAACUGUGGGGCGUUCUGAGGAGCAGAACCCUCUCUUGUUCAGGGUUCAUGUGGUGGGAGGGGGAUAUGAGGUGGGACCUGAAUGGCUCUCUCUGGCCAUGGUGGUGUAGAGGAAUGGCUGAACGCAGUCAUGUCUUUGAAUAAAUUCCCAGACCCCGAGGGAUAUUACAUAACUGUAUGUAUCGUCACAAAAUGCCUUUGGCCUCUAGCAAGUGCCCAGUAGAAACCUGUUGAAGUAUAAAAUGAGCCUUGUUCCUGGGCGUUAUCUCUUCAGUGAGGGUCCCUGUAUUCCCCUGAAGGCUGAGGGAGUGAGCCUCAUCCAGGAGGCUCAGGGUCAGGUCGGGGCAGUGGUCUGAUCCUGAUAAUGGUGCCAUUCUUUGGAAGUCUUCCUUCUCUGUCAAAAGCUCAUGGGAAUCUUGCGUUCUAUUCCUUGAUAUAUCUGGGUUAGCUUUAAUAUUAAAUGUGGAAUACAUUACAAUAUAAAAAUAAAUUUCUCCAACUUUUUUUUGUUAAGUAGGCUCCACACCCAGCGCGGAGCCCAACAUGGGCCUUGAACUCACGACUCUGAGAUCAAGAUCUGAGCUGAGAUGGAGAGUCAGAUGCUAACUGACUGAGCCACCCAGAUGUCCCUUCUCUAACAUCUCUGAGUCAAAUGCACUCUUUGACUUCAAGAAGCCCCCCGAGUCGCCCAGCCUGAGAAGGACGUGGAUUACCGACGGGUUGGGGUAACCCAGCUGCCCUGCAGUAAAUCCACAGUCCUCCCUCUGACCUCUGCGCAACCGCCUCCAGCCCUCUUAAUGAUCAUGAGGUACAGCCAUUACGGAGGGGGAGAUGAAAUUCAGCAAGCAUCAGCAAUGGGACCAAGGCCACUUUGUAAGGGGCAGAACCAGGAUUAGAAGCCAUGCAGUCUGACCCCAGAGCCUGCCCUCCUACUUCCUGCACCAUAUCUGAUAUGCACUUGGGCCGUGAGCAUUGGGAAGGGGAGCAAGGAACCCUGGGAAUCAGAAAAAACUUGACUGGAUUCCUGGCUCCCUGCAGUUGGCCCUGUGAUCUUGGGAUCCCUAGCCCUUUAAACAGUCACCCCUGGAGCUCGCCUCUUCCCACCACCAAGAAGCAAGUGCUGCCUUACAUGAUUUCUGCUGUUUCAUGCCUUGUGUCUUCCCAGCUCACACGGAAACUUCCCAAGGGCAAAGGACCGCGUUUUCUUUUCCAGGAUCAGAUGUUAAGAAGAUGAACACUCACCUCAAGGAGGCUUGGGUUCAAGUCCCAACUCUGCCACCUAUGGGCUGUGUGACCAGAGACAAAUUACUAAAGCUCUCUGUUUCCUUCUCUACAAAACAGGUCUAGUAAGAAUGAUAACUUCUUCACUGUGUCGGUUUUUUGGGGGGAUUUGAUGAGAUAGUGCAUAUAAAUGUUUGGUACAGGAUGAUGAUGAGCAUGAAGCUUGGCUAAGUGAGAGAUUUGAAUUCAACCACCUCACAGAUUCUUAAUGAGUGCCUACUAUGUGACAGGCACUGGGCUAGGGACUGGAGAGAAGGAAUGGGGCAAGAUGCUGUCUUGUGUGAAUGACCUUCCUUGAUGGCACAGGGUGGUCUCAAAUGGCCUGCGUCUGACUCCACUCCACUCAGUGCUGAUGCGGGUGCCUGGUGCCUCAUAGCGUCACCAUCUUUCCCCACGUGGGGCUUACAUUCCAGAAGCAGAGGAGAAUGGACAUGGAAUUGUGUGGUUAUGAAUGGUGAGAAGCAUUGUAAAGCGAAAGCACAGGGUAUUUUGGGAAAAUACUGGAAUAACGGGGGGGGGUCGAUUUGAUGCUGAGGGGUUAGGAUUCAUUCUUUGUGAGUUGCUUUGUGAGAAAUGUGGCUGCAGAGACCUGAGGAGCAGCAGCUGGGAGCCCACUUUCCUCCUCUCCUACAUCCCCAGGGAACUGGAGCUUGUUUUGCACAGGGCCAUCUAGGAGGGUGCCCUUAGUUAGGCCUUAGCUCAUAGGCCCUGCCCUGCCGGCCUCUCACACACCCUCUAGUGGUGGCAGUGCAGGCGGGUGCUAGGCCGGAUGGGCCCUGGGAAUCCAAGGACAAUGGAGCUGUCACGGCCCUUCCCUUCCUGAUACUAU